rnacentral:rRNA from 1 species
GUUGUAUAGUCAAGUAAUUAAGUGCAUGUGGUGGAUGCUUGGCAGUCAGAGGCGAUGAAAGACGUGAUAGCCUGCGAAAAGCUCCGGGGAGGCGGCAAAUAUCCUUUGAUCCGGAGAUGUCUGAAUGGGGGAACCCACCUACUUUAAGGUAGGUAUUGCAACAUGAAUACAUAGUGUUGCAAGGCGAACGAGGGGAAGUGAAACAUCUCAGUACCCUUAGGAAAAGAAAUCAAUUGAGAUUCCCUCAGUAGCGGCGAGCGAACGGGGAUCAGCCCAUUAAGUUAUGUGUGUUUUAGUGGAACGCUCUGGGAAGUGCGAACGUAGAGGGUGAUAUUCCCGUACACGAAAGGGCACACAUAAUGAUGACGAGUAGGGCGAGGCACGUGAAACCUUGUCUGAAUAUGGGGGGACCAUCCUCCAAGGCUAAAUACUCCUGACUGACCGAUAGUGAACCAGUACCGUGAGGGAAAGGCGAAAAGAACCCCUGUGAGGGGAGUGAAAUAGAUCCUGAAACCGCAUGCAUACAAGCAGUGGGAGCACCUUCGUGGUGUGACUGCGUACCUUUUGUAUAAUGGGUCAGCGACUUAUAUUCAGUAGCGAGGUUAACCGUAUAGGGGAGCCGUAGAGAAAUCGAGUCUUAAUAGGGCGUUUAGUUGCUGGGUAUAGACCCGAAACCAGGCGAUCUAUCCAUGAGCAGGUUGAAGGUUGGGUAACACUAACUGGAGGACCGAACCCACUGUCGUUGAAAAGCCAGGGGAUGACUUGUGGAUAGGGGUGAAAGGCUAAUCAAGCCUGGUGAUAGCUGGUUCUCCCCGAAAGCUAUUUAGGUAGCGCCUCGGACGAAUACCAUAGGGGGUAGAGCACUGUU